rnacentral:rRNA from 1 species
UACGGAGGGAGCUAGCGUUGUUCGGAAUUACUGGGCGUAAAGCGCACGUAGGCGGCUUUGUAAGUUAGAGGUGAAAGCCCGGGGCUCAACUCCGGAACUGCCUUUAAGACUGCGUCGCUUGAAUCCAGGAGAGGUGAGUGGAAUUCCGAGUGUAGAGGUGAAAUUCGUAGAUAUUCGGAAGAACACCAGUGGCGAAGGCGGCUCACUGGACUGGUAUUGACGCUGAGGUGCGAAAGCGUGGGGAGCAAACAGG